GACGAACGCUGGCGGCGUGCUUAACACAUGCAAGUCGAACGGAAAGGCCCUGCUUGCAGGGUGCUCGAGUGGCGAACGGGUGAGUAACACGUGGGUGAUCUGCCCCUUACUUUGGGAUAAGCCUGGGAAACUGGGUCUAAUACUGGAUAGGACCAUGCUGUAGGUGGUGUGGUGGAAAGAUUAGUUUCGGUAAGGGAUGAGCUCGCGGCCUAUCAGCUUGUUGGUGGGGUAAUGGCCUACCAAGGCGUCGACGGGUAGCCGGCCUGAGAGGGUGGACGGCCACAUUGGGACUGGGAUACGGCCCAGACUCCUACGGGAGGCAGCAGUGGGGAAUAUUGCACAAUGGGCGCAAGCCUGAUGCAGCGACGCCGCGUGGGGGAUGACGGCCUUCGGGUUGUAAACUCCUUUCAGCCAUGACGAAGCCCUUGUGGUGACGGUAGUGGUAGAUGAAGCACCGGCUAACUACGUG
rnacentral:rRNA from 1 species